rnacentral:ncRNA from 1 species
AGAAAUGCUAUGACAAGGAGGAGUACAUAAUAUUCUGAUGCCAAGAGAGAAGAUGGACGGUGGGAGUCUUCGUGAUGAAGUUAUGGAAGUAGCCUUUGAGCAGUGGACCGAAAGGACAGUUAUCUGAUCCGAGUAGACUUCAACGCAUUCCCAGCGUUAUAUGGGAGCGAUAUCGGAAGUGCGCUUUAGCAGGAUUCCCGUAUCGGCAGAGAGCAAAGAGGAGACUCUUUGAAUUUAGGUGGUAACACGGAUGCAUUAUUCGCCCUAAGC